rnacentral:rRNA from 1 species
UUGUGUAGCUAUAUCUCCUCGUAAAUGCUUGAUUUUGUCUGAUUUCAGACGCUAAGAAGGAUUGGGCCUGGUUAGUACUCGGAUGGGAGACCAUGGACUACCAGUUGGCACAGU